ACCUGGGUGGCUCAGUUGGUUAAGCAUCUGACUUUGGCUCAGGUCAUGAUCUCAUGGUACGUGGGUUCGAGCCCCGCAUCAGGCU
rnacentral:tRNA from 1 species